CAGUAGCCGCGGUAAUACGUAGGGUGCAAGCGUUAAUCGGAAUUACUGGGCGUAAAGCGUGCGCAGGCGGUUUGUUAAGACAGAUGUGAAAUCCCCGGGCUCAACCUGGGAACUGCAUUUGUGACUGGCAAGCUAGAGUAUGGCAGAGGGGGGUGGAAUUCCGCGUGUAGCAGUGAAAUGCGUAGAUACGCGGAGGAACACCGAUGGCGAAGGCAGCCCCCUGGGCCAAUACUGACGCUCAUGCACGAAAGCGUGGGGAGCAAACAGGAUUAGAUACCCCCGUAGUCCCUGUCUCUUAUAC
rnacentral:rRNA from 1 species